GGGCCCGCACAAGCGGUGGAGCAUGUGGUUUAAUUCGAUGAUACGCGAGGAACCUUACCAGGUCUUAAAUGCAUAACGAACGAUUGGGAAACCAAUCUUUCUUCGGACGGAAUGCAAGGUGCUGCAUGGUUGUCGUCAGCUCGUGCCGUGAGGUGUCAGGUUAAGUCCUAUAACGAGCGCAACCCCUAUUCUUAGUUGCCAGCGGUUCGGCCGGGGACUCUAAGAAAACUGCCAGUGCAAGCUGUGAGGAAGGUGGGGAUGACGUCAAAUCAUCACGGCCCUUACGACCUGGGCCACACACGUGCUACAAUGGUAGGUACAAAGGGCAGCCACUUGGUGACAAGGAGCUAAUCUCUAAAAACCUUAUCUCAGUUCGGAUUGGAGUCUGCAACUCGACUCCAUGAAGCUGGAAUCGCUAGUAAUCGU
rnacentral:rRNA from 1 species